AUGAGCAGCCGCGCCGGAGACCGCGCCCUCCCCGCCUCCUCCCCCACCGAACCCGAUCCGGAGGCGCCGUCCGCGGUGAGCGGCGGCGACUUCCCGGCCGACCUCCUGCGGGCGGUCCUGCACCGGCUCCCGCCCGCGGACGUCGCGCGGGCGGCCUGCGUCUGCCGCCUCUGGCGCGCGGUCGCCUCCGACCGCGCCGUGCUCGAGGCCGCCUUCCGCGCGCCCUGGGGGGUGCGCCGCGUCCUCGGCGACCCGGCCACCAGGGCCUUCUGGCGCGCCGCCUCCCUCGCCCGCUUCGCGCUCUCGCACGCCGUCCGUCGCGGGGACACCGUCCCCGGCGUCGCGCUCAAGUACUCCGUCCAGGUGACCGAUAUCAAACGGUUCAACAAUAUGAUGAGUGACCAUGGUAUCUACUCAAGGGAGAGGCUUCUUAUACCAAUCAGUAAUCCAGAAAUCUUGUUGGGUAGCACAUGCUACAUUGAGAUGGAUCACAACUCAAAGAGAGAGGUCGCGGUCUUUUAUCCGGAGGGCCACCCGAAUGGAAACGCGGAAUCCAUGGCAAACGCUGCAGCUGCAAAAAGGCAAAGCAAACGGAUUCUCGAGUCGGUGAGGCGAAGCUUGCAUGUUGAUGACGGAACUGCCGAGUACUACCUGUCCGUCACAGGUGGCGAUCCGAGAGCUGCUAUGAUGGAGUUCUCGGAGGACCUUAGGUGGGAGCAGCGACAAGCAGGCCAAUAG
rnacentral:rRNA from 1 species